UGCAUUCACUACUGUAAGUCACUCUGGAUAAGAGCGUCUGCUAAAUGACAAAAA
rfam:Salmo salar isolate Sally breed double haploid chromosome ssa08, whole genome shotgun sequence.